AAAAUCUACCAAGUGGACGAAAGGAAUUAGCGGCGACACAAUUAAGUUGAACGUAAACGUGAAAAUUGUGUAUGCAGUCUAGCUGUUUGACGCAGCAACAAACCCAUUGGGAGUACGGAAUUUUUUCCUGUUUGAAAAUAACGUGAUGUCAUCGCUGGCGAUUUAAGUGCAUGUUAGCUCAGACAUCACGGUCUGGAGUGAAUGUCCAAAAACUUUGAAGUUUUUUUUAACUGUUGGAACUGUGCGAGUUUUAAAGUGUCGAAGCUCUGAGCAAUGGUUCAUAUUAAUCUUUAUAUUUCGAUUUUGUUUUUACAAAAAAAUGCACACAUGUAUUCGCUCAGUACAAUACGACGCAUGCAUAACUGAGCAUUUUAUUGCUAUAAUUAGACAAUAUAACACUAAAGUUCUGUGUUUUGAGUAAAGAUCUUUAGCUAAUCCUGGCACUAAGAAAAUUAUUGUACGCUAAGAAACAAUAAUUUAGGGCAACUGUGUAGCAAUGUUUUUCUUGUGGUUUUUGAUAAGUUCUCCCUUCCUUUGAUAGCGUUUCGCGUGUAAAAGAGAAUUAGGUCUUUAGCGGCAUUUGGGCAAAACUUUCCGCAUUCACGAGAAGACAAACAAACACAUUUAAUAGUUGUCCGGGUUAAUUAAGUUUAGGCGGUUAAUAUAGCUUCAACAACAUAACACAACCUGGAGCUGUUUAAAGUACUGCCACACUAGUUAUAUUGAUGAAUAUAAAUGACAAAAUCUUAAUAAGGCAGUGUAUAUGUUCACUUGUUGAAAAAACCUCUCGUUACGCGCAGUCUUUGAUCUUAGCUUUCUCUCCCUUUUUCCGCUUUCGUCUAAAAUACCCUGGGGCCUUUACUGAUCAAAGAAGCAAUGAUAACGACGUCUGUAAUUGAAUUUUCAACAGAAAAAAUGUAUUCCCAGGUGCAAAAUGUAUCAAUAUAUCAGCUAUAUUUAUUGUUAGAGGUAGCCAUAUUUGAUUGUUUGCUGUAUUUGUGAGAUGUUUGUUGUGUUGCUAAUGCACGCGGUGGUCGCGUGUGCUUUUAUAUUUCUCAGACAAGAAACGUCUUAGACCGAAAACUCCCACGUUUAAGUCGCGGAAAUCUUUCUAUCACGGUUUUUUCACUAAAAUCUGGUCAAUAUUUGCCGGUAAGUAACAACCGUAAUUAUGUAUCGAGGAAAAAAGUGCCGAUUGCUCGUUUUGCCUGUUGCUAUGGAUACAGAUGUGUACAUGACAGUUCGGCGCGUGAAUAUAAUUAAAUUACAAUUCUGUUUACAACUGAAAUCUCAAGACAGCUUUUCUUCUAAUUCCCGCAAUGUGAAUGUUUAAUAUUGCGAGGAUAAACGCUAUAACUCUUGGUCUCGCUCACCACCUGGCGCUGACCAAUCAGCAUCAUUCUUUCAAAGGCGAGUAGUGAGGGAUUUUUGGGGGUGGGGAGGGAGAGGUUGAGAAUGACAACAGGACACAAAACGGCGGGAAUCCGAGCUUAUAGACUUUGGUCUUCAGAGAAUGUUUUCUUCUAUAGAAUGUUUUCGUCUCAGGAAAAACAUCACUAUUGGCAUCAUCACAGCCUGAGUGAUACGUGACUUUAAAGACAAAUAAGCGGAUCAAUACAGCAGGUUUAAUUACUUUAUGCCUUGGUCUGUGAAGUGAAGUGGAGUUAAUUCGGCAUCGAUAAGUUGGAUAUUGCUGCGUCUUUUCGCACGCAUAACUGACGUAUUCAAUUCAAGGAUUUUAACUACAGGCGGCUAUAUUACGUGAGUCGUGGGACUUGCUUACGUUCGAACGAAUCAGUUAAAUAAUACAUUUGAUUUGAACGCUUCACUUCAGUCGAAUGCAUUACUCUUUGGAUCUUUAAACACAAUCUUUUACACUCUGACUUAACAUUGACGAUGUACUCUUCUGUGGUCAUCAGGCAUAACACAAGAACGACAGUUUAACGAUGUAUACUACUAACUUAUAUUGGCUUAAAAACUGCAUGCAUAAGCGCGACACACGCACAAAACAAAAUUAGUGACGCUUAUAACUUUUUGUUCUAGAACACUCUACCGUACAUAUUUUUGAGUAGUCAGUCUUGUAAAUCGGAUAGGGAUGGAUUGAGGGUAGCCGAAUUUCAGCAAAAUGGCUGGAAUCAGAACCUAAUAUUCCACUCCUUAGCUAGAGUGUUAACAGUAGUAGAAAAAACCCAUUUGAAGAUCUAAGAGUAUCUAAGUGCGAUACUUUGGCAGACUAAUGCUCGAUGAAGAGACUGGUUAACUGGGUUUGCGACGAAUUAUCGGACAACUCACUGAAGCUUUGUGAUGACAAACUCAACCCGUGUACCCGUAAUGAUGUAAUGUUUUCACGUAAAAGUGCUUCUUUUAACUUAUUCCUGGUUAUCUCUCACUUCACUUCGACUUUCACAAUCUCUAUAUACACGUCAAUCACGUCAUUUCAACUUCACUGUAGGUCACGUGACGUGUGGGUGGACUACGUCUUCGAUAGCACAUCUUGCCGGGAAAUGUUUACGUUCGUCGCUUAGAGUCCCCUUCAAUCCUCUCUAGAAUUGUUCAUCUAUUAAACUAAUGCAUGAUUUGAAGUUGACUUGAUUCGACGAAAAAAUUUUAUGUAUCGUGUAAAGUGAUGUUUGUUUAAAUUUGUGUGGGAGCUGAUACACUGACGUCUCUUAAAUGUAGAUCGUUAAAACCAAUUUAUGACCAAGCGGUUUCCUGUGUGGUAUUGAGAGUUCUAUUGAAUUCUAAACGACUUCUUUGUAGUCACGUAUUUAGCUCGUUGCAAACUGAAUGAUUACAUUAAAAUUUUCCUUAUCACAGAUCUGCUUGUACCGCGUGCGUCCAGUAUAUUUCUGUGAGUCUUUCGAUGCUUUGGCGAGCUCGUAGCCUCUUCCAGGCCUUCAGUGAGUUGGGGCGCAACGAGAAAAAACGGCGGGCGAAAAAAGGAGAGAGGGGUUUGGUGCAACAGGCGAAGACCGUGACUAUAGUUAUACACUCUAACAUCAGGUUUCUAAUACAGUGAGAGAUCUACAGGAGCAGGAGCAGGAGCAGGAGCAGGAGCAGGAGCAGGAGCAGUAAUUACACUAGUCCAGUCACGCAAUGUUACGAAGCACUGCAUGACAGAGGGAGGACGAGAACAGGACUCCACUUUCACUAGUGUUUAUUUAUUCUUUAACAUCGUGCCUGCUUGAGCAGUAGUACCACUGGUGUUUAUUAUUUGUCGACUCUAGGAGUGCUGGACCAUCGUAGUAAUAGCCUUCUUAAUUAUUUUCGAAGUUACAGGUGUAUCGCGGUACGAUGGGACUUGUACGAAAAGUUGAACUUCUUAUCAAGUACUAUGUGACGCUACGGGAGCAGAAGAAUUUUGUCACGCAAUUGUGAAGAUGUUGUUCCUGCAAUCUAUUAAUGCUACUGAAGAACUGAAACUCAAGAAUUUGUUUUGCUUUUAAUUUAUCUCUAUGAAGUUGCGUUGCCGUUCAUCAUUGUUAUGAAAAAAGGUUCUAUGUAAACAGGAAUCAGGUUUUUCUGCAAAUACAUUGAAUUGAAAUUGGUACAUUUCAAUUUAUCGUUCUUAUUAGAUGUCGAUGACAUGGUGAAAAUUCGCACUCCACUCAUUAUCUGCAACUGAUGAUGCACAAGAGGAGGACUACAGAACUAACAAAUGGCACAGAAACUGAAAACUUAAGGAAUAUUGCGCGAAUAUGUAGAGCCUGUUAGAUUAAAGCUCUCAAAAUGCUGGUUCAG
rnacentral:lncRNA from 1 species